GACAGAGGGUGCAAACGUUGUUCGGAAUUACUGGGCGUAAAGCGUGCGCAGGCGGUGAUGUAAGACAGUUGUGAAAUCCCCGGGCUCAACCUGGGACCUGCAUUUGUGACUGCAUCGCUAGAGUACGGUAGAGGGGGAUGGAAUUCCGCGUGUAGCAGUGAAAUGCGUAGAUAUGCGGAGGAACACCGAUGGCGAAGGCAAUCCCCUGGACCUGUACUGACGCUCAUGCACGAAAGCGUGGGGAGCAAACAGG
rnacentral:rRNA from 1 species